rnacentral:tRNA from 1 species
GCCUGUGUGGCUCAGUUGUUUGAGCAUCAUCCCACGCACAAAGAUGUCCCAGGUUCAAUUCCUGGUAAGGGCA